rnacentral:rRNA from 1 species
UACGUAGGGCGCAAGCGUUGUCCGGAAUUAUUGGGCGUAAAGAGUUCGUAGGCGGUCUGUCGCGUCGGCUGUGAAAACCCGGGGCUCAACCCCGGGCCUGCAGUCGAUACGGGCAGACUAGAGUGCGGUAGGGGAGACUGGAAUUCCUGGUGUAGCGGUGAAAUGCGCAGAUAUCAGGAGGAACACCGGUGGCGAAGGCGGGUCUCUGGGCCGUAACUGACGCUGAGGAGCGAAAGCGUGGGGAGCGAACAGG